UGGGGAAUCUUCGGCAAUGGACGAAAGUCUGACCGAGCAACGCCGCGUGAGUGAAGAAGGUUUUCGGAUCGUAAAACUCUGUUGUUAGAGAAGAACAAGGACGUUAGUAACUGAACGUCCCCUGACGGUAUCUAACCAGAAAGCCACGGCUAACUACGUGCCAGCAGCCGCGGUAAUACGUAGGUGGCAAGCGUUGUCCGGAUUUAUUGGGCGUAAAGCGAGCGCAGGCGGUCUGUCAAGUCGGACGUGAAAUCCCCGGGCUCAACCUGGGAACUGCAUUCGAAACUGGCAGGCUAGAGUCUUGUAGAGGGGGGUAGAAUUCCAGGUGUAGCGGUGAAAUGCGUAGAGAUCUGGAGGAAUACCGGUGGCGAAGGCGGCCCCCUGGACAAAGACUGACGCUCAGGUGCGAAAGCGUGGGGAGCAAACAGG
rnacentral:rRNA from 1 species